GACGAACGCUGGCGGCGUGCUUAACACAUGCAAGUCGAACGGAAAGGCCCUGCUUUUGUGGGGUGCUCGAGUGGCGAACGGGUGAGUAACACGUGAGUAACCUGCCCUUGACUUUGGGAUAACUUCAGGAAACUGGGGCUAAUACCGGAUAGGAGCUCCUGCUGCAUGGUGGGGGUUGGAAAGUUUCGGCGGUUGGGGAUGGACUCGCGGCUUAUCAGCUUGUUGGUGGGGUAGUGGCUUACCAAGGCUUUGACGGGUAGCCGGCCUGAGAGGGUGACCGGCAACAUUGGGACUGAGAUACGGCCCAGACUCCUACGGGAGGCAGCAGUGGGGAAUAUUGCAAAAGGGGCGGAAGCCUGAUGCAGAAACGCGGCGUGCGGGAUGACGGCCUUCGGGUGGUAAACCGCUUUCGCCGGUGACGAAGCGGGAGUGACGGUAAUGGGUAAAGAAGCACCGGCUAACUACGU
rnacentral:rRNA from 1 species